AGUGUCUGUAAUUUAAAGAAAAUAUCAGGCUGUGAUCCUGACAUUAGGGGUAACCCUCACACA
rnacentral:tRNA from 1 species